rnacentral:lncRNA from 1 species
GCCGUGGCUGCAAGGAAUCGACCGGAGACUCGCUCACGGCGGUGGAUUUCGCCGGCAAAGUUUGAGCGUGGCGAGGUGCUGCGAGAGUGGGGAGGGGAGUACGGUGGGGCGGGCGAGCUAUUUAUAGCCGCGACGAGCUCGUGGGGCUGGCCGGUGGGUCGGAGGGGCGUUGGUACGUUGCUGCGGGGUGGACCGGCCACGGCGGGCACCAUUGGCGGAUAGGGGAGGCAACUUGGCGGGCGUGCUUGCAGGCGGGCGCCGCAGGCGAAGCAGGCGUGCACGGGUGAACGGCUCCAUCAGGGCGCUGCAGGCGAGGCCGAGGAGCUGUGGCGUCUUGUCUCGGGCGUGCGUUGGCGGGCACGGCGGCGGUGGCGUGCCAGAGCG